AUUGAACGCUGGCGGCAGGCUUAACACAUGCAAGUCGAACGGUCCUUCGGGAUAGUGGCGGACGGGUGAGUAACACGUGGGAACGUACCCUUAGGUUCGGAACAACACAGGGAGACUUGUGCUAAUACCGGAUAAGCCCUUCGGGGGAAAGAUUUAUCGCCUUUGGAGCGGCCCGCGUCUGAUUAGCUUGUUGGUGAGGUAAUGGCUCACCAAGGCUACGAUCAGUAGCUGGUCUGAGAGGAUGGCCAGCCACACUGGGACUGAGACACGGCCCAGACUCCUACGGGAGGCAGCAGUGGGGAAUCUUGCGCAAUGGGCGAAAGCCUGACGCAGCCAUGCCGCGUGGAUGAUGAAGGUCUUAGGAUUGUAAAAUCCUUUCACCGGGGACGAUAAUGACGGUACCCGGAGAAGAAGCCCCGGCUAACUUCGUGCCAGCAGCCGCGGUAAUACGAAGGGGGCUAGCGUUGCUCGGAAUUACUGGGCGUAAAGGGCGCGUAGGCGGACAGUUAAGUUGGGGGUGAAAGCCCGGGGCUCAACCUCGGAAAUGCCUUCAAUACUGGCUGUCUUGAGUACGGGAGAGGUGAGUGGAACUCCGAGUGUAGAGGUGAAAUUCGUAGAUAUUCGGAAGAACACCAGUGGCGAAGGCGACUCACUGGCCCGUUACUGACGCUGAGGCGCGAAAGCGUGGGGAGCAAACAGG
rnacentral:rRNA from 1 species